UGAAAUCUCGCACUAGAAAUCCCCUUAAAAAGGAGUUGCUCCAGUCCUCAUCAGCUACCAGGACGUGUCAAGCCAUAGAAAGUGAAGUUUCACAAACCAUCCUUCCCCAUAAACGAGUAUGUAAAUCAUAACUGAUUAAACAGAAUUAUGUCUUGGUAAUUUGGAACUGGACACAGAUAAUUCUAACUACUCUUUAAAAAAUUUUUUUAAUUAUUGUGAGAGAGAGAGUGCAAGUCGGGUAGAGAGAGAGGGAGGGAAAGAAUCCCAAGCAGGCUCUGCACUGUCAGCACAGAACCCAACACGGGGCUCGAACUCACAAACAGUGAGAUCAUGACCUGAGCUGAGAUUGAAGUCUGUUGUUUAACGAACUGAGCCAUCCAGGUGCCCCAAUAAUUCUAACUACCCUUAAGUGGAGCUAUGUUGUGCAGGGAGAGAAGGUGUAUGGUGUAUACUAAGGUGUUUGGUAGAAUGGUGGAAUGAACAGCAUUGUAAAGUAGAAUUUUGGCUUUUGUAUUCUAGUCCCUAGCCACCCAUUCUGCUGCCCUUCUGGUUGCUGAUAUCCCAAAAUGCCAGGUCCGCUUUUUGCCAUAUUUUGGCAGCAUUCUAGUUGCUGGACUACCAUUGCUCUCAAAACUUGCCAGGCCCUGGCCUUUUACAAGAUGAUAAUCUAAGAAAACGGAUCACUAUUGACGUCUUCAUGAAUGCUUACUUAUUAGGGGACAUCUUCCCAGGAUCUUUGUGUAGUUUACUGGAGGUUUUUACAACAAUGACCUAAUCUAGUUGAAUGACUCCAAACUUGAGACUUCCAGGAUGCAGGUGCAUAUGCUAUCCUCCAAAUUCCAGGUGAACAGGUGGUAGACUUUCCACAUAAAAGUCCAACUUUUGAUCUGCCUAGGGCCCUAAAGAGUUAAGAAAUUUACCUUUCUCUUAGUCUUUUUUUUUUCUUAACUAUACCAAAAUUGCAAAUGAGGCCUCCCUCCCUUAUAGGUAGAAUGUUAUGGACCAAGGUAUUUUGGUAGCAUAAUGAGAUAAUAUACAUGAAGACGCUUUGAAAAAUAUACAAUCUUAUACAAACUGUAAGGUUCUAUGAUUAAAAUUAAUUUUAUCUUUUUUUUUAAGUAGGCUCCACCCCUACGUGGGGCUUGAACUCACAACCCUGAGAUCAAGUCACAUCCCUGAGAUCAAGAGUCAGAUGCUCUACCAACUGAGCCUCCCAGGUGUCCCUAAAAUUUUAGAGCACAUUAUUCAUUACUGUAUUAAUAUUACUAUAAUGGUAAUAAAAUGGGAAGCUGUUAAACACAUAUCCAUCUUUCCAACAGUGUUGUCCUAAGUCCAGGAGGAAGCUUUCAAAACAGGAGGCUGGCCAAUUGCAAACCUUUCUCUGGACUUACUCUCCUCACCCCAGACCCAGCUACUAAGGAAGCCAGUUUUGGAACAUGGAACGAUAGAUUGGAUGCAGUUAGGAGCCCUGAUCUCAUCUUGAUGUCAGACAGGAAGUAACAGCUAUAUGCCAAAGGCAGAGAUGUCCCAGACACUCCUAACAAGCUGGAGCUGGAUGGAAGGACCAGUCCAACAAACUUUCUUGGCUCUAAAAGAUUUUAAAAUUUUCCUCCAAAAUAAAGUUACGGAUAAAUGAAAGAACUGGAGAGUAAUUUGUGCUGAUGUGCACAGAGUCACUUUACCACACACUACCUCAGAGCACACUGGGGAUGUCAGCAGGGCGCUUAUCCUCCUUUGAGCAAGUUACCUCCUUCAGAGGGAUGCCAGGAGGAAAAGCAGAGGCACGUGCUAUAAGGAAGGAGUGAGUGCUGAAUGCAUCCUGGCAAGUAGGUAACCCUUGGAACUGAAUGUUCUCACCCAGGUCCUUUAGCAAUAAAUGUAUUCUACUUCUGACUCAGGUCCAUGCUUGAGGACUUGCAGGGGUAUUUUUAAGAAAAUGAGCCACCUGGGUGGCUCAAUGGGUUAAGCGUCUGACUUCGGCUCAGGUCCUGAUCUCACAGGUUCGUGUGUUUGAGCCC